GACGAACGCUGGCGGCGUGCUCAACACAUGCAAGUCGAACGGAAAGGCCUCUUUCGGGGGGUACUCGAGUGGCGAACGGGUGAGUAACACGUGAGUAACCUGCCCUUGACUUUGGGAUAACUUCAGGAAACUGGGGCUAAUACCGGAUAGGAGCUCCUGCUGCAUGGUGGGGGUUGGAAAGUUUCGGCGGUUGGGGAUGGACUCGCGGCUUAUCAGCUUGUUGGUGGGGUAGUGGCUUACCAAGGCUUUGACGGGUAGCCGGCCUGAGAGGGUGACCGGCCACAUUGGGACUGAGAUACGGCCCAGACUCCUACGGGAGGCAGCAGUGGGGAAUAUUGCACAAUGGGUGGAAGCCUGAUGCAGCAACGCCGUGUGCGGGAUGACGGCCUUCGGGUUGUAAACCGCUUUCGCUCAUGACGAAGCUUUGUGUGACGGUAGUGGGUAAAGAAGCACCGGCUAACUACGUG
rnacentral:rRNA from 1 species